CUGUCAAACGCACACAUGCAUGCAUAUAUAAACACGUACACCCCUCUGGUCUAGAAAAUGGAAAGGAAAUCCUGCAGUCAGUUCCUACAAAAUAAGUGCAAGACACAAUGAGAUUAUCAAACAGAGUUCCACUGAAGUAUGAGCCCAGGCUCAGGAGGCUGAGACAGGUGUGAAGCAGGGGCCAGAUAUCCGUCCAUGCAGGCAGUGGAAGUGGGGC
rnacentral:lncRNA from 1 species